GAUGAACGCCGGCGGCGUGCUUAACACAUGCAAGUCGAACGAGAGAAGAUCGGUGCUUGCACUGAUCCGAUCGAGUGGCGGACGGGUGAGUAACGCGUGGGUAACCUGCCUCAUACAGGGGAAUAACAGUUGGAAACGGCUGCUAAAACCGCAUAAGCGCACAGUAUCGCAUGAUACAGUGUGAGAAACUCCGGUGGUAUGAGAUGGACCCGCGUCUGAUUAGCUAGUUGGUGAGGUAACGGCCCACCAAGGCAACGAUCAGUAGCCGGCCUGGGAGGGUGAACGGCCACAUUGGGACUGAGACACGGCCCAAACUCCUACGGGAGGCAGCAGUGGGGAAUAUUGCACAAUGGGGGAAACCCUGAUGCAGCGACGCCGCGUGAGUGAUGAAGUAUUUCGGUAUGUAAAGCUCUAUCAGCAGGGAAGAUAAUGACGGUACCUGACUAAGAAGCACCGGCUAAAUACGUGCCAGCCGCCGCCGUAA
rnacentral:rRNA from 1 species